CCCUCUUUCUGAGUCCAGAUGGAAAGAGAGGAGGACAGCUGGGUGGAUAGAUAUUCACAGCCUAUAGCUAUUACUAAUAAUGAAAUGUAUAAAUCCAGACUAUCAAAUAUCUCCAAUACUACCACUCAGUGUUGUUCUUCUAAAGAUCAGCAAAUGUAGGGGUGGCAUGGGAAGCUUCAGAUGGUUAACAACUCUGUUUCAUAAAUAAUCCCAAAGUGCCAUGAUGUAGAGCGCUGGAUAGACAUCUGUGGGGGUUUGGCUCUUAUUCUUUUAUAAGCCAAGAAGAGGCAAGUACAGUCUGCAAGAAGAAUGCCCACCUGUGUCAAGCAAAUUGAUUGUCCAAGGCACCAUCUGAUAAAUUAGUUGAUUUACACCGAGAAAGCAGGAGGUAUAUGGAAAGUGCAUUAACUCUUUGGGGCCACUGGGGCAACAUUAGUAAACCAUUGCUACAGUCCUAAAUGGUUCCCUUAAUGGUCCCAAAGAGUAAAUGCAUCCCCCAAAGAGUCUCAGCUGUUCCCAGGUGGUCAUUUGUCCUCUGAGACUUGGAGUGAUUACAAAUGCUUUUCGGGAGCCAGGUCAGUGGCCCAGUUCCCAGGUAAGGAAACUGGAUUUUAUUCUAGGCUACUUGACCAGUUAUUGACAAAGCUUAGAUUAGGUAUUAGUCAGCUAAAGUGGUUAGCUAAUAAUUAGCACUGUUGCUCUGAUACCAGCAAGUAUUCCAGUGACCAUCAACAUAGUAAAUAUUUGUCAUUCAAAAUGUAAUUGUUCACAGUGAAAUACUCCACAUUCACUCCCAUGGGGUAGGCAAGUGGUUCCAAUCAGAUGGAGGUGAACAGUCUUUUGCAAAAAUGUUUAUUUUAGUUAUGGCUUUUUGUCACCAAAUGAUUGUCUGCUGUCAAACUCAAGCUAAUAAAAGAGGUGGAAAUUUUUCAAACUAGAUAUUGGUGAUUGCCCUCAAGUUUUGUAAGUUUGUUCAUCAUUCAGGCUCAUGAAUUGAAUAAAUCUGAUUAUCUUCAGAGGUGUUGCUCAAGGAGACACAAAUGUGUCAGAGGUGAAAGAGCCUUUGAAAUCCUCAACUCAAGGAUGCUUAUUUUUUUACAGAUGGAAAAAAAAAAAAAAUGGCCUCAGUUGGCCCAGCCAGGCUUGGGCUUGGGUGAAGUGAGAAAGCCCAGUUACCUGAAGGCAACAGAGAAAGGAAGCCACUAGACUUCAAGUCCAGAGGCCACUUCGACAGUGGUGGAGAUAGAGAGCAUUGCACAUGGUCAUUAGUAGAACCUGGGUUUGUU